AGUGAACGCUGGCGGUAGGCCUAACACAUGCAAGUCGAACGGCAGCACAGUAAGAGCUUGCUCUUACGGGUGGCGAGUGGCGGACGGGUGAGGAAUACAUCGGAAUCUACUUUUUCGUGGGGGAUAACGUAGGGAAACUUACGCUAAUACAGCAUACGACCUACGGGUGAAAGCAGGGGAUCUUCGGACCUUGCGCGAUUGAAUGAGCCGAUGUCGGAUUAGCUAGUUGGCGGGGUAAAGGCCCACCAAGGCGACGAUCCGUAGCUGGGCUGAGAGGAUGAUCAGCCACACUGGAACUGAGACACGGUCCAGACUCCUACGGGAGGCAGCAGUGGGGAAUAUUGGACAAUGGGCGCAAGCCUGAUCCAGCCAUACCGCGUGGGUGAAGAAGGCCUUCGGGUUGUAAAGCCCUUUUGUUGGGAAAGAAAAGCAGCAGGUUAAUACCCCGCUGUUCUGACGGUACCCAAAGAAUAAGCACCGGCUAACUUCGUG
rnacentral:rRNA from 1 species